UGUAUCAUUUAAAAUUUACGUUGCAUCUUUGACUUACUAUUUAUUUUCAUAUGCCUAAAAGGGAAGAAAGGUUAAAUUCCUUCACGGUCCCGCCGCUGUAAUAGAGGAAUCCUUAUAGAUAUACCACUGGGAAACUGGAAAGGUUAUAAGGGUGAUGAUGCUUGAGUCAGAAGACCUGCCUGUAAUUCUUCGCCAAAU
rnacentral:ncRNA from 17 species